GGCCGGAUGGUCUAGUAGCAAGGUUCUCGCUUGCUAGAAGUGCGAGAGGUUCUGGGUUCGAAUCCGGUUCUGCUCA